AUAUCAGCCAAUAAUAUCACCCGCCUCGGCGGGGAAGGCCCAUCGCGAUCGAUUGGAGCCGGAGACCGACUCUGUCAACACGUCGCACGGAUGGUGCCCUCGUCAGAGGAGUUCUCCUCCCUCGCCAAGGUGGAGGAAGUGGAGGAUGUCCACCCCCUCUUCGUCGGCCCCACGUCCGAGGUAGCCCUCUACUCCGCCGCCGGGAGCGUGCUCAAAGUCGAAGAGGUGGAGAAGCUAUUCUACCUGGCCGUCGAGCGCGGUGUCAAGAACGAGGAGGCGCAGAAGGCCAUCUUCCUCGCCGUCCAGAGCGGUAUGAAUGCAAACGAGGUCCUCUCCCUCGCCGUCCGCACGGGACUGAAGUCCGAGGAGGAGGUACACGCUCUCCUACUCCAGCAGCUGCUCGCCUCCUUCGACAGGCGACGCAAGGACUCCGAGCUGUUCGAGUGGGAGCACCCGCCUGUCAUCGACAGGAAGAAACAAGACCCCAGGUGUCCCUUCUUCCUCUUCAAGAUGAAGGCAUCAGCCAAGAACGCGCAGGUAUCGUGGCGGCAGAAGAAGCACGCCCGCUUCCCGCCCGAGCGAGCGGGGUACACGAACGCUCUGCGCGUCGCGCGUCUGGCGGCCGGACCUGACGGGUUCCACCUGGAGCAGGCGGGGGAGGGCGGGCAACCUGGUGCGAUCUCGGGCCAUGCCGACGACAAGUACAUGGGGAGGCGGCGACGGAAAGACGGUAUCUUAGAGUGCUCCUCUGUGCAGCUCAGGGAGGUGGCCGUCAUCAAGAGGUUGCCCCGAGGCGACGGGAUCUCCAUCAUGUCGUAUGUGAGAGGGCUCGGUGUUAAGGUCCAUGACAUCCUGUUUAUGCUGCACUGCUACUCCAUCACCGUCGCCAUGACCUUCACCGAGCGAUGGUUCUACGUGUCUUCCAGGUUCACGGAGGAGCCAUUGUACGCCAGGGAUGGCCUUGAUUUUAUUGAUAUUACCGUCACACUGGAGAAUCUGAUCAAGAAGCUUUACCAGAUGUAUGAGCAAGAGGAGCAAGAAAAGAAGAUCAUGCGUGAGAAACAAGAUCACCACGAGACAGAGACGCUGACGCGGCAGCAGAAGGAGCUGAUGCUCCAUCAGAGGGAGGAAGAAGAGAGGAAGAAGUUGGAAGACCUGCAGAAGAGAAGGGCCGACAGCAAGAAACAAAAGUGUCAGCGUAAGGAACUGAAGGAGGCAGCUCAUCGGAUGAACGAGGGAACUGAGGAGCAACAUGGGCAUUGUGAAGACACUGAUGAUGCUUCCUUUUGUAGCCCAAUAUUUCAGCUUCAGGAAGAAUCAGAUUGGGUGGAGCCAUCAGAAGAGGAGCUGUAGCAAGGUGAGCAGGAGCGCAAGGAUUUACCUGAAGGGGACUAUGGAAGCCACGGAACAAAUUAUAUUAGAAAUUCUAACGUUUGACAGGAGAACAUAAUUUUCGUUCAGGUUCUCAUAGUUCUUCUGGAAGAAAAAUUUCUGGCAUGGGUCUUUAACAAAGAAUAUUCUAUAUUUCGAUGUGGUACCGAUGUGGUUCACUUCUGUUGGAUGCAAUUGACAGCUGUGAUGUGCUGGAUCUUGGAACUAUAGGCGAGGUAAAUAGGGGAACAGAGGGACCAUCAGUUGUGUGAUGAAUUAAGGUCUAACCUUUUGAGUUCUCCUGUAAAAAAAAAAAACCUUUUGAGUUGUGUGUCUUGGUUCACUGAUGAUAAUGUAUGUUUUGUGCUAUGGGGAUGAAAGGAAAUGUUGUCUGUACGUUUAUAUUUGCCUUGUUUCCUUUCCACCUGAUAUAUCACAGCCAUGGCUGGUUAGAAAAAAAAAAGGGAACAAUAUUAUGUUCUCACUACACAAACUGAGACAUGCAUCAAAUAUUUUUUAUGCUUUGUCAUGAUUGAUUUAUUCCAUUUGUUGAUUCAUA